GACUGGGGGAGCAGGGGGCGGUCCGCGCGGCCGGGGCCUGGAGAGCGGGAUGGGGACACCCUCGGCCCGGAGCUCAGGUAGCUGUGGGGCCCGCGCCCACAGCACCCGGCGUCGGCGCCGACGCCCCGCUCGCCACCCCCACCAGUGACGGGAAAGCACCAGAUUAAGGCUGCCAGGGGCUCAGCUGUACUCAGAUGGACGGGACGGAGACCCGACAGCGGAGGCCAGAGGAGCUGGGCCUGCUGCACGGCCUCAGCACAGGAAGACUCCCUGAAGCCUCGGAAGAUGGACUGCUGAGUGUCCCUGAGAGCCAAAGGGUGGCCCCUAAACCCCUGGGGCCUGAGCUCAGCAGGGAGACCACCUUGUCCAUUGGCCUCCAGGUGACAGUGCCCUUCCUGUUUGCAGGCCUGGGACUGUCUGGGGCAGGCAUCCUUUUGAACUAUUUCCAGCACUGGCCCGUGUUCACGGAGGUGAAGGACCUGCUGACCUUGGUGCCGCCCCUGGUGGGCCUGAAGGGCAACCUGGAGAUGACACUGGCCUCACGCCUCUCCACCGCGGCCAACACUGGACAGAUCGAUGGCCCCCGGGAGCAGCACCGAGUCAUCAGCAGUAACCUCGCCCUCAUCCAGGUGCAGGCCGCCGUCAUGGGGCUCCUGGCCGCCGUGGCGGCCCUGCUCCUGGGCGCGGCGUCAGGGCAGGAGCUGGACGCGGCGGAGGCGGAGGUGCUGUGCGCCAGCAGCGUCAUCACUGCCUUCCUGGCGGCCUGCGCCCUGGGGACGUUGAUGGUCUGCAUAGUGAUCGGCGCUCGAAAGCUCGGGGUCAACCCGGACAACAUUGCGACGCCCAUCGCGGCCAGCCUGGGAGACCUCAUCACCUUGUCCAUCCUGGCUUUCGUCAGCAGCUUCUUCCACAAACACAGAGACAGUCGCUAUCUGACGCCGCUGGUCUGCAUCGGCUUCACGGCCCUGACCCCCCUGUGCAUCCUCAUCGCCAAGCAGAACCCGCCCGUCGUGAAGAUCUUGAAGUUCGGGUGGUUCCCCAUCGUCCUGGCGAUGCUCGUCAGCAGUUUCGGGGGGCUCAUCUUGAACAAGACCAUCUCCAAGCAGCAGUUCCGAGGCAUGGCCGUAUUUGCCCCCAUCAUUUGUGGUGUUGGUGGCAACCUGGUGGCCAUUCAGACCAGCCGGAUCUCCACGUACUUGCACCUGUGGAGCACACCUGGGGUCCUGCCCCUCUGGAUGAAAAAACGCUGGCCUAACCCCCGCUCCACGUUCUGCAGCUCAGAAAUCAACUCCACGUCGGCCCGCGUCCUGCUCUUCCUGGUGGUUCCAGGCCACCUGAUCUUCUUCUCCAUCAUCUACCUGGUGGAAGGCCAGUCAGUCCCAAACGACAAAACCUUCGUGGGGCUCUACCUGCUGGCGGGCCUGGUCCAGGUGACGAUCCUGCUGUACCUGGCGGAAGCGACGGUUCGGCUGACGUGGAACUGGGCCCUGGACCCGGAUGACCACUGCAUCCCCUACCUCACGGGGCUGGGGGACCUCCUCGGGACCGGCCUCCUGGCACUCUGCUUCCUCGCCCACUGGCUACUGAGGAGUGAAACGGCGCUGGAUGGCACCCCAGAACCAGCAUCUGGACCUUCCUAAGGAGCCCAGGAGAACCUUCCCUCGUGCCCAUGGAAACAGGGUAUGGUUUCUUCCCAGCCGGACCCCCAGAGAGGCUGACCCUGGCCUCUGCCAGUCAGCCGAGGACGCGCACACACUCUGGAGCUGCUGCUGCCUGAGGUCAGGAGCGCUUGCCGGCGAGGGUGCGUGCCCGUGUGGAGGGGAGGGCAGGGCGCUACGGCCUGAAGAUGCUGAACCAAGAGGCUACCUGUGCACUUUGCGGGGGCGGGGGGGGCACUGUCUGGAGCCCACGCAGCCGAAGGACACCCUCUGUCCCCGAGCUCGGGACGCUGAGCCUGGCUUCAGGGCUGUCGUCGCUCAGCCCUUCCCAGGACAGGGCCAGCCCGUGCCCACCCCCUCUUCUGCUCCCAGCAUUCCUGUCAGUGCUUGCUCUUUCAUUAGAACAAAUCUCUGCUUAUUUUAACGAUCAGAGGAGUGUAAAAUAAAACUGGAACCCCAGUUGCACCCCGAGGUGAGUGUGGGGUCAGUCCCAAUACAAAGAAAGACAGACAGGACGGGGAAUCAGCAAGCUGGACGGUGGGUUAUUACUACGGAUCAAAGGAAAAAUGUCAACUUUCCACGUGCAGCUGUACAAAAACUUUUUUAAUUCAUUCACUCACAUGAGGAGUUGGGCCCAAUGCCAGCAGGGACCUCAGUGCCCAGGAAACGGAAGUCCUGAGCACCUCAGGGGGACACCCACUGCGGGUGUGCGGGACAGAGGUCCAGCCGCACGGCCCGGACUCCCCUCCCGCAGGACAGGAGGCCGCCGGGCCUGGCUCCUCGUGGAGGGGCCACUGGAUGACCCGGGGCUUCGGGGAGCACCAUCUAGAGAUGGAAACACCCCCUCCCCCAUGCAGGACACAGAGAAGUCACGGUAGAAAUCAGAACCAGAAGCCCAAAAACUCAAGAGAGACAAGCAGAAUGGGCAGAGUUGGGAUGAUUCCCAAGCCUGAGAAUCAAAACAGCAUGUGAACAAAAACACUUCGAAAGGCACAAGGCAAAACACCGUUUCUGAGAGCCCGCGUCCGGCCCACUGACUUGUCUCCUUCUGCAGGACAGACCUCGCUCCGUGAAAACACACGGUCACCCUCAACAAUGCACACACCUCCGUGCUCAAAACGUGGCUGUACAAACCGCUGUCCAAUUGCCAUUAGAUGUUACUACCCAAAUACAGAACUCAAAUUCAUCACUUUAAAGGUUUAACUCCAUAUUUGGUCUGUGCAGGGGCUGCGACAGGGCCCGGGGGCCUCGUCACCCGUCACGUUCCCCUGACACCAGGCCACCUGGGCCACUAGACCCGGUGCCACCCCAGCUCAACCGCAACCCCCACCGAGGGCGGGGACAGCCUGUUCGCUCUCAGCCAGACGCUGCGCCCAGUGCUGAAGCCCGUCAGAGGCCACCGCGGAGGCUCCGUCCUCUUCCCUAGGCACGCAGCAAGCCCAGGCGGAUGCAGGCUGCGUGCACAGCCGAGCGGGGAAAAGGCACGCUCUGCCCUGAGAGGAUGGUACGGCCCCAAACAAACAGCUCCCUGAUAAACGUAAGAAAAACACUUGCGAAAAUGUACCCAAAGUCUCUCUCUGAAGAACGAGGCCAGCCUUCCAAGUGGCGCCCUCGGCCCAGGCAGAGCUGGUUUCACUGCAGGGCCCACAGGCCGACCGUGCUGCCCGAGCUCCACAUGUCCUCGGGCCCAGUGGCCCCUCCAGCUGCAGGGAGCACCUCCUGCGAAACCAAGCACAGUGGUGAGCUCGGCAACCGCAGCACAGCGCAGGCCCACACGCGCCCCUGGCCUCCCUUAGUUGAAAACGCUCGUUUUCCCCGUAUUUUAAGCGUAUAUUCCUUGAAGGAAAACAUUUUAGUAUCAACAAAACUAAGCACUAAGCAAAGGUGAACUCAGUCCUCUGCUCUGCGUUUCCUCAGAGAUGAGACUGUCCUUCCUGAACUUUGACCCUCCCCACUCGCUCUGGGAGCGCCCCCCACUCCCAGUCACGGUCACAAGCUGCCGUCCACGGCAUCAGUGCAGACGGGCUCCAGCCACGUGGCCGCACCACCACCACCCAGCCUGCCACCAGGGAACAGCGACCCCCUGCUCACUUGUACACGACCCUGAGAUGAGGAACGCCCGACGGAUGGAGGGGACGGCCGUGAGGCCGUCCAGACGCUGUGACCGCACGCCCUCCAGUUCACCCCCACCCCGCGCUCCGUUCAACAUUCACUUCUAACAUUACGGAAAAUGUCGAACAGCCCAAUUCGAAUAUAAGAAAACCAAAAUUACUGUUUGUUUCUUACAUACACGUUUGAAAUUGGAUAAGCUACAUCAUUAUUUUAUACCCAAAUCUCAAUUAUCUACUGCCGCUCAUACUCAGCCUAUUUCCCCACAGGCUAAAACCUGGCCCGCCCAACUUCCACAAUUCUAAAUGUAUGACCCUUGAAGACCGUAUUAAAUUCCACCCCAUCUACCAUGACGAGUGACUCCCAGCUGUACGCUCCACCUUUUAUGUCUCGAUCCCUUAGCCACCUCUUCCACAAAGUGGAGAAACACACUGGCAACCCACCCAGCGAGUCCCAUGCAAGGCCACCUCAGGGAGACACCUCUGGAAGCCGGAAGCUUCACGAGUCUCAACAAACCCAAAGAGCAAAGAGGCAUCCAGACCUGGAGGACGUAGACAGGCAUGACAGCAAGCAGGGGUUGGGAGACAGGAGGCUGCGGGCCGGGCGCCAACGGGAAGACCAUGUGCCCUGAGGGGUCAUCCUGGGAAGGCAACCGCACACGGCUCAGUCACCUUGGCCCGAGGAGUCCCGCUACCUUGAGACGCAGCAGAACCAGCGCACCCGCCUUCCAGGGGCGGCCUGAGGCCCAGCAGUGACCGGAGCCCUCCCCCAAGCCCAGCUCAAGGCCCAGCUGCAUGGCCCCACGGCCCGAGAGCCGAGUACACAGAGGUGCUCAAAGAGGCUGGGUCAGAGCCAUACAUCCUCAGCGUUUAAACCUCUUCUCUCCCAAAACCCUUCCAAAUCAUCUUCCAGCCCCUGGAAAGCGAGGCUGAAGGUGACAAUGUCCCAAGAGCCACGGAGGUGGGAGCAGCCGCAGCUGCAGGUCCCCAAUGGCCCAGGCGCAGCCCAAGAGGUGGCCAGACCUGCCCUGAGGGCCUCAGUGCGGCAGAGAAAAUAAGAGAGAAACAAGCUCAGCACCAUUUCCACACAGGCCACCUCCUCCGGGUGCAUCCUGGCACAGGAUGAGCACGCUGCCUUCACCCGGCCCCGUGAGGACAGAAGCCAAGUCCUGGGACCCGGCAGCACAAGGAGCCAGACGCACUGCCAGUUGUCUGCGGUGCGGCCACAGGACCUCAGGCAGGAGCAGGAUGGAGUGCAGAGGGCAGGUUGCAGGGGAGCUGGACACGGGGAAUGCGUGGGGAGUGACGGACAGGAGGGAUGCAGGACGGGGCAGGACAGCUCACGGGCUCUUACCUGCAGCAGCUGGACCUGGACGCACGGCAGAGCCACACCGGGCACUGCGAGGCUGCCCCACAGCCAGGCUCCCGGGCCGGCAGGGACGUCACCUUCUCCUGUGCUCAGUGCGGGCCCCGCGGCUCCUGAAACACACAAGGCCCCCAGACUCACAGCUGCUCAGCCAGAGGGAAGAGGCCGAGACCAGGCCUCCGCUUAGAAGCUGAGCAAGGCUCUCGUGUCUUCCGCAGAGACGGCUCAGGCCACACCGUCCUCAAGGGUGGAUUCCUCUUCACCCUCGAAGCCUGGGGCACGCGGGGUCCCUGACACAUGGAGCAUGACCAAGCUCACGGAAAAAGAAGGGAGGGAAGCCGGCUGCGUCCCCCCCACGCCCUGCUGCCGGCACCUCAGCACCUGCUAAAUGGCUCUGUCCAGCUUCCUUCGCAAAAAUCAUCACUUUCCUGGUUUCAUAACAACAUGCUUUUUAAAAAAAUUAAGCACAAAGAAGAAAGAAAAUAUCCUAACACCCAGAAAUGGUUUUUCUGACACAGGAACCCUGGAUUCAAGCCUGGUUCCACCACCAACUCUCCCUGACCCUGGACAGGUGAGCUGAGCUCUGGCCUGGGGCUCCCACUGCAGAGUGUGGGGAGGAUAGACCACGUGGAUGUGCUCAGGGUGCAGGACCGAGCCCAGCGCAGAGCGAGCACCCAGGGGUGGAGGCGCUGUCACUGCUGGGCAGACACAGGCAUGGAACGGCCUCACAAAGACAACCUUACGGUGAGCAGCAUAGCGGCAUACAAGCUCACUUAAUAGAAGCACCCAAUUAAAUGUUGAAUUAAGCAACGCCAAAAGAACAAAUGAGGCUGAAAGACUUGCUACUUCCAGAAAACAUGUCUUCAGGAAAACACCUAAUUGACCUCAAGUCAAAGAUGAAAAGCACGGGAGGCUGGCCAGCUAUUUAGGUUCUGUCUCCCUUCUGCCGGGCACGGUUGGCUCUGCUGCCCGACGAGCCAGCCUGCGGGCCCCAUCCCCGGGGUCUCACCGCCGACCCCCCUCCAUGUAUGUCCUCUGGGUCCAGCCCCCGUUCUCCGCCUGCCCCAGGAGCCUGACGCCCCUGCUGCUCCCAGCAGGACUCACUCCCUCCCCUUCAACAGGGAGGAAUUCGAUGUCCCCCCUGUCCUCCUGGGGCCUGUGCGGUUCCAGCCACCUCUGGAAUUUUACCUGAAUCAUCGUUACGCUUUGAAGCCUUUUAUCACCCUCAGAUAAUUCCCCGCAAUACCAAUCUGUACAUAAAUCGAAAUUUUACUUAUUUUUAAAGUUUUCUUAAAUAUAUUUUCUAGAAGUGAACAUUCUUCACCUGAAAAAGUGAGUUACCAUUGCAAUUAUCAGAAACGCAAACCCAGUCAAAAUAAGACAUUAAACUUUGAUAAUUAUAAAAUAUUAAAAGGAAAAUUACACUGAAAAAUGCAUCCAGAGGAGUGCACUGCCGGCCUGCUCCCAGGUGGCUCGUGUCUGCCUGAGCACUGAGACUGGUAAACAUACAUUGUUGCCAAUUAAAAAAAUGUCUUAAUAAAAUGCUCGUGUGCUUUAGUUUCAUCCCAACUAUUCAGCUGAAAAUUCAGCUCAUUUAUGUUGGACGAAGCCCAUGUAACGUGGUCAGCCUUACUCUGCUGAAGGGUCCGACUUCAUUUUUCAAUCCAAAUGAACAUACCAAGACAUGCUUCAAGGAAUAUCAUGAAACCACUAUGGAGUUAAAUUAAGGCAGGCACCAGAUAAUGCAUCUUUUGAAGUCAGUUUUAAAAGUAGGCAAGAUUUAAAUGAUGUAUAUCUAAUAUUAAUCGUGUAGUCAUACAGCAUAAAGAUGAGAUGAAACUGAGCCAUUUCUCCUUAUUUACGCUGCAGUGACUCAGUGCCAGCUGUGUGGGUCGCGCUUUAAGUUAUCUGUGAAACGAGAGCUAUGAUCAAAGCUUUGCUUUCAUUCAUGAAUGUGGGCACGUAUGCUGCUCAACUAGGGGGAAAUUGAGUAAAAAUCACAUGUACAAAUCAGAAAUAAACCCCAGUAAUUGUGUCUACACAUCACGAUUCCGCAUUUCCUUCAUACUUAACGGAAGACGGGUCCACACUGCUAAAAAGCGAGUAAAACUAGAAUAUCACUGUUAAUGAGACCAAGCGAAGUCAGUUUUAACUACUGUAUCAGCACACACCUAACCUGAAAGAAAUCACAAAAGUCCUCUUUUCAACGUGUACCUUCAAUCCAGUGUCUGGGAAUCUGGUGACCCCACAGACCCCAUGGCUACAUUUACAGGAAUCGCUGCCGCUGGCGUGAAGGGCUCGCUCUCGCCCGGGGCUCCCCGCCCCCAUCCAGAUUAACGACCGGCCCGGGACAGGAGGCCCGCAGCCGAAAGCGGCCCUCGUGCGGGCACCUGUGCCGCCCAGCCUUCCUGGACCCUCUUCUCCAGCAGCUCGACUCACGGCAGCAGCGGGGUCUGGGAAGCUGAGGGUCUCCGGGGAAGUGCGCCCCCCCACGGGCCCACCACACGCCCCAACUCCAAGCACCUCGACACGCGCCCCUGGGAGGCCUGCCGGAGGGUGGGCGGGCGAACUGGCCACAUCCACCUGUACAGGGCUCGUCCCCGGACCAACCCACGAGGCCUGGCCGAGGGGCUCGGGAAGACCCUGGCCUGUUCCGCACUCUCCUGAGGGGCGUGGUGAGGCUGGUGGAGACACAGCGGGCGUCUGUGGAGGGAAAGGGGCAGGAGAGCCUGCAGUGGCCCCCAACUUGACGCUAGGAGAGAACGCAUGGAGGCUGCGGCCCCGCAGGCCCCUCUCACGCCCAAGAUCCAGGCAGAACACCGCUGUCGGCACCACAAGGAGGGGACCCUGACCCCCACGGAGCGGGCGUUGCCCAGACUCCCUGCUUGAGCCAUCGCGGUGGGUGUUCUGUUACACGACCCCAAACGACAGACUGUGCCAUCGGGUACUGUGUCGACACUCAAGACGACCACAAAUUAACCCCACGCCUGAGCGUGACGGAGAAGUCCGUCUCUGCGGGUGCCUGAAGGCACGCGGAUGCAAACCGAGGGUCGCCACACGGAGUCCUCACCAGUAAAAGAUGCCAUGGCGCUAAACAUAACGUGACUCAUCUAAUUAAUAAGCCGAUCAAAAGAAAAAUCAAACUUCCUUUUCCACGGUGGAAAUCCACAAACUCUUACCAGGCAGGUAAUCUUCACACUGAACUGAGUAUUCUCCACAUUUAUCCAAAAUGCUGAUCUGUGCUGGGCGACUUUAAGGAAGGGAGAGGAGAGUAAAUCCAGCCAGCAGAUACGCUUCCACUAAGCAGACCUUAAAAGACCACCCUCUUUGGGCCUCAAACGGCAGGGUGAGCCGGACUCCACACUGCACACCGGACCCCUGGCCCAUCCGUGAACUACGGGACCCCCGGCUGCCCUCCCAGGGCCCAGCGAGACCAGGUGAGGCCGGCAGCACAGACCCAGCUCGGACCACGUGCGCGCUCACCCCAGCUCCACCGCGAGGCCCUCGCAAGCACACCCCUGCGCCACAGAACCUGCCCUCCACGCCCAGUGGGCGGGGGGGCCACGUGGUCACUCUCCACGGGUUCCUCGUCGGAGCCACAGAACACAGCAAGAAACUGCAGGGACCGCUCCCUCCAUUCCUGCAAGGAAGGAGAUCUGACAGGACACAGCAUGGACGCAGAGGCACUGGGGCCGAAUUCACUGACGUGUUCAGUCCUACACAGCUGUCGAGAAGAUACGUUAUAAAAACAUCAUUCACAAGGAGAGACAUUCACGUUAUUAACAGGAAAGAGCAGAGUAGUGUAUCAUUUCUUCCAAGUAAGGAUACACGUGCAGUUUAUGCACAUGGAAAACGACCACCAUCAAAACGAAGGACGUGGUCUCCCAGGGCAGUGGAGCACAGGCCAAGUAAGAAGCCACUUCCUUUCUCCCCGACUAAGCCAGCGUCACCAGAGCCACUCACCGGACCCCACGCUCUGCUCUGCGCCCAGUGUCCCACGGGCCCUCCCACCAUUUCUCUUUCCUGAAGACGCACCAGGAGUCUCACAAGUUCAUCUUCCACAGGAGCUGAAGCCUGACGGGGGGCUUCAGGUUCCUUUGGGAUUUUCAAGGAACUGAAUAAAAGAUGUAAAUCAACACUAGAGGCAGAGCGUUUCAAGCCAGGUAUGGGGAGGCCCUGAGCAGGCCUCAUCCAGGCCUGGCGUCCUUGUCACGGGGGGUCCCGAGACACCUUGUUACUGUUAAUGCCGUUAUGAGUGAGAUCCGUCUUUCGUUACUUUUUUCCGGAUUAUUCUAAUAGAAAAGCUACGAAUCUGAUAUUUGCAAGUUCGUUGUGCAAUCAGCUACCUAUCCUUCCCUCUUAUUUCUAAUGACUGGAGUCAGUUCCCUUGGGUUUAUAACCGUCAUCGGAAAGCCAUCACCGCUUCUCCCUACGUACCCACCCUCCUCCAGACUUCCGCAGAUGUGCCUAACGCCCCUGUGCUGUUGCCCGGCUGCCUCUACCCCACUGUGAUGGGAAACGACGCUGCCAGUCUGACUUGCUUACUAGGGAAAUCUCUCUGGUUCCUAAGGAUGAAGGUUUUAUGAUUUUUAAAAAUCAGCCAUAAGGACUUCCAUCAACUGCCUUGUUCGGCAUCGGUGAGUACACAGCAGUGCCCACCCCGACCCCCACCCGAGAGAGGCCGUCAUCCGGGCCGCGUGCUGGCUCCCCAGGAGCACCGCAUCCGCCACACUCGCGGUUGGUGAGACACGGCCUUUCCGUGUGCGACGUGGUGCCGCCAGGCCCCUGAAGACUUUGCAGCCCUGCACCGUGGGGUCCAUCCCCCUCAAGUUCCUACCCAGAAAAUGGGGCAUCAGUAGCCACGCCUCAGGCUGCCGUGAGGACGUGGAGAGGGAACGGGGUGUGGGGGAGCCCAGGACACAGGGCAUAGGACCAGCCCUCGUCUACGAGGAACUCUGUGGGACACCGGGCGGGACGGGGCACCCGUGUGCCGAAGCUCACGCUGCUGGCCGUGCACCAAGUACAGGCGUAUGUGUUUCCAGGGACGUACAGACGAGCCCACACCCACACGCGCUGAUGAGGGAGCAAGGGCACCCUGCCAACACCAAGGGGCCGAGGGGCCCUCAGCGAGGUCUGUGGUCACAGAAGCAGCUGCAACAUCACUGCCCCUCAGAGGUGCUUCUCGCCGGGGGUCGGUCGGGGCCCAGUGGCACGCAGGGACGCUGUGGUGUGGCACCCAGAGGGGCUCCAUGCAGGCAACAGGGACGUGGGUAACGGUGCACUAAAGCACAGCAGCACCUCAGGCGGGCACUGCCGCCCCAGAGUCCAGGAGGGGGACAGCCACACAGGGCCAGAACCACGGCAGGGCCGCCCCGCAGGAACGGGCCAGGGAACACAGCGCGAGCGAGGUCCUGGUCCCCUCCUCCUGCCCCGCUCCCAGGACGGGAAGGCCAAGCUGGGCCCACUGGGAAGGGCAAGGUGAGGACCCACCCAGAAAGGUGGAUGGACCCGCAGAGCGAGCCAGGGCCGUGCACCGCGCAGGCAGGCCUGCCGGGCGCACAGCCAGCCAGGCCCAGGGCCGGUGGAGGGGGCGGUCUACGCGGACGGGAGUCCUCCGCCCAACCGCAAAGCCGGGGCCUGAAGCACACACAGCCCUGCCCGCUGCUCUCCUUAAUCUGCUCCCACGGCUGUACGGAUGGUCUGUGAGCAUGAACCGUGAGCGCCCGGCGAGACCCACAGCCUUCCCUGCACGCUCUUCAGUCCCGCGCCCACCCCCGCCCCGGAUCUGCGUCCUGCCUGGGUCGCAGGGUCCCCCGAGGCCCUCACGCAUCGCGGAACGGGCAGAGCUGCCCUCGCCGCUGGUCAGAGGGUGUGCUCAGCGGCCCGGCCCCGCCGGCCCGGGGCACCCACACCAGCACCAUGCUGACCUCGGUGGGGGACCCCAAGAAGCCCCUGCUCUCCUUGCCUGCGCCGUGUCCCUAUGGCUUACUUUCACAAGGACAGGUGGAAGAAUCCUUUAGAAAAUACCACAUCCCUCUUCUAAUCACGCUCUCAUGAGAGCCCAGUUCUGACAGUGACCCAGAGGCCCCAGCGGCCUGGCCUCCUGCUGGCACCGAGCUCGUUCCCAAAACGCUCCCAGCCAGCUGCUCUGGACAAAGGGCCCGUGCUGAGCACACCCUCCGGACCCGGGCCUCGCCAGAACGGCCCUUCACCCGCACAUGCCCACACGGGCCUCUGUCCCACGCGAGCCUGCGAAGCCUCGUGGGCCGGCUCCUCGUGAUGCCCACACCCCUCCUGACUUACUGUCUUCCUUGAUGACUGUGACCGCAGGAGCCUCCUCCCCGCAGCGUCUCAGGCCAGCUCUGUCCCCUCCCUUUCAGGUCCCGCCCACUUAGGAAACAUCCUCCUUGUGAAGGGCGCCUUCUCCACUGUCCUUCCUCCAAGCUGCGGCCACAAAGGGCACUCCUGCGGCUGAAACGGCGCACUUGGAGAAGGCUGGGGCCCGAGAGGCUGCCUGCUCAAGUUCACGCCACCACACGGCCACCUGCUCCUCCUGGAAGUCUCUGACCAGCUCCUAUUUCUUCUUUCACCCAAGAGUUUUUACUAAGUUUUAUUUUGUUUUCCAAGUGAUUAUUACUAUGUUUUACCACAUUACGGUCAAAAACAUGUAGUACCAAGCUGUUUUUUCCUAGACUUUGCUAUGGUUUUCCUGACGCCUAAUUUGUUCCGUUCAAUUUAUAUAAAUAUUCCACUGUCAUGGAGUAGAAUCUAUUACAACAACUUUACUAAUCCCACUGUAAACAUAUUUUACAUCUUUAUUUUUUCUGCUUGUUCUGCAAAUAAUUAAAUUAACAAAUUCCAAUACUGCCAGGUUUUUAUCCAGUUCUCCUGGAGUUCCCUCUGUGCUUACUUCAUAUUGUUCGCUACUGUAAGUUUUCAUAUAAAUGUUCAUACAAACGGUCACAAGUCAUGGUAAGACCGUCGAUUAUGUGUGAACAGCAACUAAAAAUAGGAAAAGCCUUCUCUGUCCCAAUUGUUUUUCUUUGAAUUCUAUGCUUCCGAUAUUAGUAUUAACCCCUGCUUUGUAACUUUUGUUUUUUGUUUUGCUCUAUCUUGUCUUAAUUUUAACCUUCUAAAUACUCCCGUCCACAAUAUGUCUCUUCUGGACAUCGUGUGGUUGGGGUUUUGCUUUCUGUCUCAGUCAGAACAGUGGGGGAGUCCCACUCAUUUACGUUUUCACUGUCACACAGACGUGUGUGUUCUGCUGGUUACACCUCCUCCAGUGGGCACCAUGCUUUCCUCCCUUCCCUGCCCUUAAAGAGCAGAACGUGCACAUCCGUUCACAGUUCUGAAGUUGGGUACAUUUUUUUUUUAAGCUUAUUUUGCUAACUGUCAGCUUCAAGAAUAAAAGUUUCUCUUUUACGUUGAGAAAAUAUUCUCGGUUUGAGGGGGGAGCCUCAGCACUCAAUAGCAACCCAAUGGCAACAGUGCUGGAUUUUAGACCCCAUGUCCACUUUUCAAAGCGUUCAGACUACGCACUCCCUAAGAACCAACGGGUGCGCUGCACUGAACCGCGGCGACACCGCGAAGCCACAGUGCUUACACGACUCGACUCCACCAGCACUCCUGCUGCUGCAGCUUCUCUACUCUUGGACCUAUUACACCACAUCCCGAAACCCAGGAGGUCCCCAAACCCAGGUUUCUCCCAAGUUUGGUGCCAAAAAGAAUGUAGCAGCAACACGCGACCCAAAAGCACGUGAAGACACUUCACGGUCUCACUGACUCACUUAAGUGAACGCGUUUCACUAAAAAGCCAACAGCAGAACUAGGCGUGGUGAGAAACACAGAGUGUGUGUGCCACACUCCCACCCUGAAACGCAACACGCUCUGAAUCCGGAGCACAGCAGCGUGGGCUCACACGCAUGAAUCUGCUUCCCGGCACAGCGUCCCGAGGCAGCAGCGCCCUGGGGCAACAGGCAGCAGCACAACCUGCACCCAGCGUGGGAACGGACGCCCUGAGAAGCGGCUGCUCCAGGGCUGGGCCUGGUGGUGGCAACAAGUGAGGGGCGUGCCCGGCAGGAGGGCACAAGAAUCCACCAGAAGAGCGGCCAGCGGCCAAGUCAACACGGAAGGGAUCGAUCACAACCAGCACCAGUGACGUUACACUGAAGGACGACGUCAGUGUCUUCCAGCCUGUACUGAUACAGCAUCGAUUAUAACCAGCACC